UCAGAACCUCCCGUACUGCCAGCUGUCCCGGCACAGACACAGCUUACAGAAGGUUCCCACUUCAUGUGUGUAUAGGCAUCGCGCUGUGUGUAAUGUGAGGAGAAACGUCAUCCGAUGCCAGAGAGGUUACUGUACAGCUUUUUCUAACCAAAUCUGAAAUCACACAACACAGUUUUCAAGAUUUACUUCUGAGAACCGCUUGCUGCUAUGUUUUCCUUGCACAUGAUGGUAUUUGAAUAGCCAAAAUUUGAGUUUUCCUUGCUUAGCAAAUGAGAAGUUUACUUUGCUCACAAACAUUUAUUUUUGUGUUUUAUUUUUUAUCAUUCAGGUUUUCUUGACUGUUUCAAUAUGCCACGUCUAAAACACUACACUUAAUUUGUAUAAAAUAUAUAUAUAUAUUUAUAUUUAACUGUGCCAUUUAUCAUGGAAUAUUUUACUUCUGCUGGUUUUAUUUUUCAUUCAGUUUGCGGUUUUAUCAUUUACUGCCACAUAAAUGUUUAUGCGUUUUGUUUAAGGAAUAGAUCAUUAUUAAAUAAUUAAUCUUUUAUCUUGUUCCAAGGGGCGGGUUUGUACAGCAAUAAGUGGGAUCUGGUAUUUUAGUGUACAGAUGUAAUUAUGUUAUACAAUGUGCACAUCUAAUGUAAGUAUUACAUAGACUUACAAAUGUUCAUAUCUCAUUUCUUUUAUAACAUGCCAAAUAAAUGUUGAUGUUACUAAAAA